rnacentral:ncRNA from 2 species
GAGAGCCCGUUGCGUUGAGAGGCGCACGGCGGGUUCGGCGAGAGGCCAGGAGAAACGGACCGAGAGCAAUCCCGGCACCGCGCUCCUGGCCUACUCAGC